rnacentral:rRNA from 1 species
UACGAACUGUGCAAACGUUAUUCGGAAUCACUGGGCUUAAAGGGUGCGUAGGCGGCCAGAUAAGUAGGGUGUGAAAGCCCCCGGCUCAACCGGGGAAGUGGCGCUCUAAACUGUCUGGCUGGAGUGAGAUAGGGGUGUGCGGAACUUCCGGUGGAGCGGUGAAAUGUGUUGAUAUCGGAAGGAACGCCGGUGGCGAAAGCGGCACACUGGAUCUCAACUGACGCUGAGGCACGAAAGCCAGGGGAGCAAACGGGAUUAGAUACCCCUGUAGU